rnacentral:lncRNA from 1 species
GGUUGGAAGUCAAGGGGGUGUGUGGCUCCAGGGUGACCAGGCAGUGGAAGCCGCGUGAGAGAUGAAUGAAGAACAGUCUGGAAACUAACGGGCUCAUCCCACUUGACCAGCUGUGGAGACCUCACUCUAAUCACUGGAGAAUGAGAGUUCUCUCCUUCCCAGCCGCUGCCUUUCAUGGAUGCAGCUGUGUCUUGGAGCAGCUCUGCAGACAUAUCUUGUCUGCCACAGCUGCUGCCAGGAGGGUGCCCUGGGGCAGCCACCAUGCCGGGGCUUUUUCUGUCCUUGUCACCCAGGCAGCACCCUGCCCCACAGAUGGCCUGGUUAGCCAGGUUCUAGUCAGAGAGGCCACAGGCCUGAGGAGGGCAGCAGUGUGCAAACCCCCCUUCCCCCCACCCCCCCAAUUGGCCUGAUGACCAUUUUUUCUUUUCUCUUUUUUUUCUCUUUUUUCAUCUUUGGGGCUAUUUUUUGUUUUUUGUUUUUUGGUUUUUGGUUUUUUUUUUUUUUGGAGACAGGAUUUCUCUGUGUAGCCUGGCUGUCCUAGAACUCACUCUGUAGUGCUGGGAUUAAAGGCAUGUGCCACCACUGCCCAGCCUGAUGGCCAUUUUUCUAGUCUCCUUGUUUGUCCUGGUGUGAGUGGGAUAUGUGCCCCCACCCCACCCGCACCCUGCCAUACACACCUAUACGGUACUGUGUGAAUGUUUCUCCUGAGGAGGGCAGGUCAGAGGUCAUGAACCCAUGAGGACCCCACAAGGGAACAGAGACAGCCUGCUGCUGCACCCAGGGAAGGAAACAGAUGUUGCUGCUCAUUAAAAAUUCAAUCAGCAGCCUGUCUCCCUCAAUUAAUCGUGGCUGGCUGUCUGUGGGGAGCAGGAGGGCUUGUGGUAGACUCUGUGAGAAUGGAGGCGGGGAGGUACGGUGCUAAGCUGUCCUCACUCUGCACACACAGGGUUAAGUGGUGGUACAGCCACGACCCCUCCCCUCGGGGCUUACAUAUGCUCUGGUGAUGCUAGCUGCUGACCCUGGGGAUAACCACAAGGAGCCGGUAGAAUGGCUGGCAGGCCUGUAUCCAGAGACAAUCAGUGUUACUAUGCUGGCUACCAUGAGCCUUUCAGUCACACCAUGGGUUCAGCCAUAUCAUCCAGAGGACCUCGUGUCCCUAGUGAGUGCCACUGUCUGCCUUGUGUUGGGCUUCUCCUGCAGUAGUGAGGGAAGGGCCUCAAAGUUGUACCAGGAGGCUCCUGGCCCUCAGUCUCCCCUCUGCUCCGUGGCUCCCUGACUUUGCCUCUCUGCCUUGCCCUGAGGAUUCCUCCCUAGUCACAGGUGACAGGCAUGCAGGGCUGUUGGGUCUGGUUUCUCCAGGCUGUGUGGUGCUGCUGUGACUGUUUAUACAGAAAAUCAGUCCGUGAGGCGGGGUCUCCCCAGCCCAGCCCAGCCCAGCCCAACUCAACUGCCGCCUCUCACUUCCUGCCUGAAGGGAGCCUCUCCUGGGGUCUCAAAGCCUAAAUAUGUGCAAGGGUCCCCCACGUAGGUCCAUAUCAGCUGCCAGCAGUGUCCACAUAGCUACGGGCACUGCUGGAAUCUAGGGAGCAGCUCUGUCCUGAGGUGCAGGUCCCCAGGGUGUGUGUGUGUCCUGACUCUAUGACCACCCUGUUUUGCCUAUAGGAGGUGGGAGUUCCUACCCUGCAGAUGCCCUCACAUGCCUCAUCUUGGGAUUCAGCAGUCUGGUGUCUAAGGCUUCCCUGACAUUGUUGAGUUCCUUCUAGAGCUGAGCCAGACCCUGUAGACCUUGGUCCAGACCUGCUCAUAGGAGGCUUUCUCCCUAAAUACCCCUUUUAUGCUUUCUUUGA